rnacentral:sRNA from 1 species
AUUGCGUUAGGGAUAGUAGUGGUAUCCUUUUAUUUUUUUCUUUAAAAAAUAAAAGAUAUAGUGAAUAGCCCGCCCGAAG